UUUAUCCUUCCGCCCUUCACUAUCCCUAUCCCAAUCUGAAUCUGAAUCCGUUGUUUUUAUAAUUUUUCAUUCCUUUCCUCUGGUUGGGAUUGGAUUGCAUCAUCCUUUGUCAAAAUCUGGUAGCUCACCCAACCCAACCUAGACGCAGAUGAAGACCCUGGGUUUGUUGGUGGCUCUUGUUCUUUGAUUUUACCACAGAUUCCUCUAUUUUUUUAUCUGUUUCCUUCUCCUCAUGUUCAUG
rnacentral:lncRNA from 1 species